UACGGAGGGUGCAAGCGUUAUCCGGAUUCACUGGGUUUAAAGGGUGCGUAGGUGGGUCUGUAAGUCCGUGGUGAAAUCUCUGAGCUUAACUCGGAAACUGCCAUGGAUACUACGGGUCUUGAAUAUCGUGGAGGUGAGCGGAAUAUGUCAUGUAGCGGUGAAAUGCUUAGAUAUGACAUAGAACACCAAUUGCGAAGGCAGCUCACUACACGAAUAUUGACACUGAGGCACGAAAGCGUGGGGAUCAAACAGG
rnacentral:rRNA from 1 species